UACAUCGUAUUUCAAUUUGUUCACCUUUUUGUAUUUUGUUGGAAUUAUUGUUAGUUACGAAAUAAAAAUGAUGGAUAAUUUGAAAAGUUAUAUAUAUUUUUUUUAAAUUGAAAUUAAGCGUUAAGGUUUUAACAUUCAAUUACGAUAAAACUGUCUGAUAGGCAUGAAAAAUCACUGAAUUCUCAAUUUUUUGAUUUCAAACUUUUAUAUUAGAGUUUCGGUUUACACUACUUAUCAGAGUUUAUUAGAACUUCAGUCCUUAUUAUUGCUAAAGUUCAAAGUUUGUUAUUGUGUGUUUCGAUCACUCGCGGAGAGACGCGAUCGCGAGGAAACUAGAGUCAACGGGAGUCGUAAAUUCCCGUUACGAUUAGACAAUCCUAUUUCGGUUAGGAUAAUAGAUGUGAUUAAAUAAAGUAUUACAGCGAGAUAACGGUUUACAAUUCGCACUUUAUUCCAACAACUUUGUAGAGAAGAUAGUUAGGCCGAUGCGUAUAGACGAGUUAAGUAGGCGACAGUGAUCUAAGGGUGGAAACCCGGUCAAGAGACGUUGACUGUUCUAGAGAUGGAAAAUCAGCGAAGUUCGGUGACGAUGCUAGCGGCCGAGGAAAGCUAGCGAUGGGUGUGUCUAACGCACGGGACCAUCGGAUUUGUUGGUGACAGUUUUGACUAGGAAAGUGAGGGCAAUAGUCAUUGCUUCUGAUUGGAUGAGAAAAAGGUUCGUGGGCAAGGAAAUGUUCUAACCGCCCCCGAGAAAAAGUUGCUAGCGAGAGACACCGAACGCGAGAAAAACCAGUAUCUAAUUCCCGUAUCUUUGCGUAGUAGACAAUAAAUUUAAGGAACGCUUGAAAUAAAAGAACUAUGAAAAUGCCAGGAUUCAUGGUGGGUCCUAAAGACUAUCGAGGAUACGCAGUAAGGAUCUGCCAUCUUGCCAGCGGAUUGCGGCCUGGCACAUCACAGCUUCAACUUCUCCGUCUUCUUUGGGAAUGUUCUAACAGUGGCUCAGAAGCCAAGAACAUUCUUUACAACCUCUAUUUCCACCAUUGGAUUUUCACCAUUUCAGUUCCUGUCUGAUGUUAGUCUUCCUGAUAACAUUGGCUGGGAUAGCGCGGCGAUUCGAUGGCGUAACGCUUCUGUUCCUCUGCUUCUAACGCGUCAAGAUGCAGUGAGCGCACCCGUUGUCGAUGCGCUGCAACGAUAUUGCGAGCUAAGUGUGGAAGGUUUCAACAAACGGGACGAUCCUAGGAGUCGGUUUAGGAGUAACGAGGUUGAUCAACUUGCGAUUAACUUGUCGAUAGGGUGGUGAGCCUCCUGUUACGAGCUGCGCACGUUUCGAACAAGUCUCAAGCCUAUACGGAACAUGCGAGUACAAUAAGAAGACAAUAGCCCGGAAUCUGUGGCAUAAGCGUACAACUUGGUUCCGUGGCUAUACACCUCGAGCAAAGCAUGCAAUAAAAGGACAACGUAUUAUCCUGGGAUAAUAUAAACGGAAAAUUUAAAAAUCUAAGGAAACGAUUUUAACGGCACGACAAAAGAUACUAUUGUAUAAACUCACUUGGAUCAGGCCUCCUGUAGUUCCCCUUUGAUCCCGGGCACACUGUGAUGAUGUCUCGAGGCGAGUUUAUUCGCCAGCUCGUGCAUCACAUCCCGGUAUAUCACCGUGUCCAAAUUCUCGCCGAGCAUAUAGAGAAGAAACCAAUCACCGACUUUGCUCCGCCGAACUAUCGUUUCCACGGCUUCUCUCCUGACCAAACGAAACCGUAGUCGUAGAAGGUAUACUCUCGUUCUUGGCGAAAAUAUAAUUACGAUCUAAAACAGGUACGAGAAGAAGUUGAGAAUGUCGAAGGUUAACUGUCGCGAGUUAUGCGCGGAUAUUCUUUGUCGAGAUAACGUAACCAGCCACCCGAAGUGUAAUAGAGAGCUUCUCAAGCAGCAACGUAGAAAUGCUGCGAAAUAUAAUUAUCGUAGUAUACGAUAGUGUUAGCAAAAACUAGAGAAACAAAAGUUGGAAAAAUGCCGAACAAAUGUAAACUUUGAAUAAAGAUAAUAUCGAAGGAUCGUUGCUAUAUAAAUUUUAUGCAGUAAGAUAUUGGAUAUAUCGAGUAUGUGUAAUCAAGUAACGUAGCUUGAAAACCUGAUAGAGUUCAUAUCUAAUACAGUGUGAUACUAAUGUAAAAAUAAAUUGUAAAAUGAAGAAAAUAAUAGCCGAGCGUGUUACAAA